CCCUUAGAUGUUCUGGGCCGCACACGCGCUACACUGAAGGAGGCAGCGUGUACUCCUGGAUCGAAAGAUUUGGGUAACCCGCGAAUCUCCUUCGUGCUUGGGAUUGAGGUUUGCAAUUAUCCUUCAUGAACGAGGAAUUCCCAGUAAGUGCAAGUCAUAAGCUUGCGCUGACUACGUCCCUGCCCUUUGUACACACCGCCCGUCGCUACUACCGAUUGAAUGAUUUAGUGAGGACUUCGGACUGGGACCGAUGCGGCUUUCGGGCUGCGUCGGUAUUCUGGAAAGAUGUCCAAACUGUAUCAUUUAGAGGAAGUAAAAGUCGUAACA
rnacentral:rRNA from 1 species